rnacentral:rRNA from 1 species
GACGAACGCUGGCGGCGUGCUUAACACAUGCAAGUCAAGGGGGCCCAGCAAUGGGCAACCGGCGAACGGGUGCGUAACACGUGAGCAACCUACCGAAAUGUGGGGGAUAGCCGGCCUAACGGCCGAGUAAUACCGCAUACGCUUUCCGAGAGGCAUUUCUUGGAAAGGAAACCUACGGGACAUUUCGAGGGGCUCGCGGCCUAUCAGCUAGUUGGCGAGGUAACGGCUCACCAAGGCAACGACGGGUAGCUGGUCUGAGAGGAUGGCCAGCCACAUUGGGACUGAGAUACGGCCCAGACUCCUACGGGGGGCUGCAGUAACGAAUCUUCCGCAAUGCACGAAAGUGUGACGGAGCGACGCCGCGUGUAGGAUGAAGCCC